ACCAGAGGGCAUAGCAGCGGAAGGGGGUAAUGUCUAACACACCAUAACAGCCAUGGUCGAAGCUCAUCUCUCAAAGCCCUCACUGACUUGCAGAUUGGCUUUGGUGCUCAAAACCUCCUCUGAGUUUUCCAGCUCUGCUAGCAGAUACAAUGAAAAAUACUCCCUCCUCCUACAACCCAUUGACCUGGCUGUGUCCUGAGACAUUGCAGCUACAGCAAAAUAUGCUGGAGACCUCGAUGUCUGGUUCUCUUCCAAGAGCAUUUCACCUCAGAUGCCUGGAAAACGCAUAGAUUUGAAUGAGGAGCUUAAAGGACAGUGAAACCCUCAUCACAGCAGACUCAGAGCAUCAGCUGCAGGGAGGGAGAGCAGUACAGCCCAGCUGCACAAUGAUCACACGCUGAUCUCUGCUGUGUUCUGCUGGAGAGCAUUUGCAAGUAAUUCAGAUGCUGGAGUGGCUUCUGUAUUGCAUCUUCUCAAGGGAGGAACCAGAUGAAAGAUGCACAUAUAGCCUCUGUUGUGCUCAUUGGGGUUCUUUAAGUUUGUGUUACUGAACCAUAAACCAGUUGAUCUAUACUUACUACUGUAGCUGGAGAAUUUGUCUCCAAGUUAUCUGUCUGCUCCCCAGGGAAGAAGGUGGAGUAUGUCUGAGCUACUUUUUCUGAUGAAGACAAAAAUCGUUGUUAUAGCCAACUUCAUCGGUUUACCCAUCGGUACCAUUUCUUGUUUGGGUCUUCCAUGCACUGGAGUCUACAUCUCUCUUACUUCAUGCUCCCUUUCUUAGCAAGUUAAAAUGAUAGGCAUUAGUAUUGCCUGGAGGAGAAAAGCCAGCCUGGCAGGCUUACAACUCACUCACUACUGUGUGUACUGCUAGAGAAACUACUGCCUAUCAGAUUGUGAACCAUCGCUUUUCUUUACAAAAUCCCUUCCCAGACUCCACUGAAUCACUCUGCCAUUGCUAAUUAAGUUCAUUGUAUUCCAUUUUCCCUGUGUUGAUGUGACAGGGUAUUUGUUUCGCAUUAAAUUCAGGUGAGACUUUGAGCUGACAUGUCGAAAAUCAAUAAGCAGCAGAAAUCAUCAGGGGAAGCCAAAAUGCUAGAGGCUGAACAAGCCUGUUGGGCUUCCUGGAUUCAGUCCCAUGGACACAGUCAUAUAUUCUGGAGUCGUGAACCUCACAGGGAAAUAAUGACAUACCAAGGGAUUGAAACAAAGCUAUGUAUAGCGUUUCUUACCCCUAUGGCCCGCUGAUGCACAUAAAUAAAUCAGGCAUUUUGCAUUA